rnacentral:rRNA from 1 species
CCUACGGGAGGCAGCAGUGGGGAAUUUUGGACAAUGGGCGCAAGCCUGAUCCAGCAAUGCCGCGUGAGUGAAGAAGGCCUUCGGGUUGUAAAGCUCUUUUGUCAGGGAAGAAACGGUGGGGGCUAAUAUCUCCUGCUAAUGACGGUACCUGAAGAAUAAGCACCGGCUAACUACGUGCCAGCAGCCGCGGUAAUACGUAGGGUGCAAGCGUUAAUCGGAAUUACUGGGCGUAAAGCGUGCGCAGGCGGUUUUGUAAGUUUGUCGUGAAAUCCCCGGGCUCAACCUGGGAAUGGCGAUGAAGACUGCAAGGCUAGAAUCUGGCAGAGGGGGGUAGAAUUCCACGUGUAGCAGUGAAAUGCGUAGAGAUGUGGAGGAACACCGAUGGCGAAGGCAGCCCCCUGGGUCAAGAUUGACGCUCAUGCACGAAAGCGUGGGGAGCAAACAGGAUUAGAUACCCUGGUAGUCCACGCCCUAAACGAUGUCUACUAGUUGUCGGGUUUUAAUUAACUUGGUAACGCAGCUAACGCGUGAAGUAGACCGCCUGGGGGAGGUACGGUCGCGAAGAAGUAAACCGUUAAACGUUAAGUAGUUAGUUACGUGNGAGNGCGACGACGACGACGACGGAGGAGGAG